rnacentral:rRNA from 1 species
GCUUAACGCGAAGAACCUUACCUACUCUUGACAUCCAGAGAACUUAGCAGAGAUGCUUUGGUGCCUUCGGGAACUCUGAGACAGGUGCUGCAUGGCUGUCGUCAGCUCGUGUUGUGAAAUGUUGGGUUAAGUCCCGCAACGAGCGCAACCCUUAUCCUUUGUUGCCAGCGGUUCGGCCGGGAACUCAAAGGAGACUGCCAGUGAUAAACUGGAGGAAGGUGGGGAUGACGUCAAGUCAUCAUGGCCCUUACGAGUAGGGCUACACACGUGCUACAAUGGCGUAUACAAAGAGAAGCGACCUCGCGAGAGCAAGCGGACCUCAUAAAGUACGUCGUAGUCCGGAUCGGAGUCUGCAACUCGACUCCAUGAAGUCGGAAUCGCUAGUAAUCGUAGAUCAGAAUGCUACGGUGAAUACGUUCCCGGGUCUUGUACACACCG